CUCCCUGUAGCGCAAUGCAUAACGCGUUGAACUUUUAAUCCAAGGGUCGUGGGUUCGAAUCCCUCCUGGGAUU